AUAAUGAAAACAUGCAAUUAUCUUUUUAGCCAUGAGUGUCUUGCCUUUUUAAUAAAAAUUUCAGUUCUUUCACAAGAACAAAGUAACUGCUCGAAAGGCAUUGAUUAUAUUUAUGCCUUAAAUGAUAAUUUCAUGACAUUAGUAGCUGAACUACUUUUCCCAUUUCCUUCUAACUAUACCAUUUGCUGGAGGAGAUGGCUUGCAUCAGAAGGCUUGCGAUUAUGGGAUGACAUCUAGAGUGGACUUUAGCACAAAGUCAAUAAAGAAAACCGUGACAACUGAGGAGAAAUUUGGAGGCAAUACAUGGGGAGAACAUCACAUGACGUGAAGACAGAGCCUAGUGUGAUGCUUGCACAAGCCAAGGAAUGCCAGAGAUUGUGAGCAAGUGGCCCGAAGCAGUACCGAAGUUACAUGGAUGAUAGGGGCCUUCCAGAAAAUUUCA
rnacentral:lncRNA from 1 species